AACGAACGCUGGCGGCAUGCCUAACACAUGCAAGUCGAACGAGAUCUUCGGGUCUAGUGGCGCACGGGUGCGUAACGCGUGGGAAUCUGCCCUCAGGUUCGGAAUAACCAUUGGAAACGAUGGCUAAUACCGGAUGAUGACGUUAAGUCCAAAGAUUUAUCGCCUGAGGAUGAGCCCGCGUAGGAUUAGCUAGUUGGUGUGGUAAAGGCGCACCAAGGCGACGAUCCUUAGCUGGUCUGAGAGGAUGAUCAGCCACACUGGGACUGGGACACGGCCCAGACUCCUACGGGAGGGAGCAGUGGGGAAUAUUGGACAAUGGGCGAAAGCCUGAGCCAGCAAUGCCGCGUGAGUGAUGAAGGCCUUAGGGUUGUAAAGCUCUUUUACCCGGGAUGAUAAUGACAGUACCGGGAGAAUAAGCUCCGGCUAACUCCGU
rnacentral:rRNA from 1 species